rnacentral:tRNA from 1 species
GCGGUCGUGGCGGAAUUGGUAGACGCGCAGCGUUGAGGUCGCUGUGAAGCGAUUCGUGGAAGUUCGAGUCUUCUCGACCGCACCA